GCUCAGGACGAACGCUGGCGGCGUGCUUAACACAUGCAAGUCGAACGGAGAACUUAUUUCGGUAAGUUCUUAGUGGCGAACGGGUGAGUAACGCGUGGGCAACCUGCCCUCCAGUUGGGGACAACAUUCCGAAAGGGAUGCUAAUACCGAAUGUGCUCCCUCCUCCGCAUGGAGGAGGGAGGAAAGAUGGCCUCUGCUUGCAAGCUAUCGCUGGGAGAUGGGCCCGCGUCUGAUUAGCUAGUUGGUGGGGUAACGGCUCACCAAGGCGAUGAUCAGUAGCCGGUCUGAGAGGAUGAACGGCCACAUUGGGACUGAGACACGGCCCAAACUCCUACGGGAGGCAGCAGUA
rnacentral:rRNA from 1 species